rnacentral:rRNA from 1 species
GAUCCUGGCUCAGGAUGAACGCUGGCGGCGUGCUUAACACAUGCAAGUCGAACGAUUGAAGCUGGAGCUUGCUCCGGCCGAUUUAGUGGCGGACGGGUGAGUAACGCGUGGGUAACCUGCCUCAUACAGGGGGAUAGCAGUUGGAAACGACUGGUAAAACCGCAUAAGCGCACGGUAUCGCAUGACACAGUGUGAAAAACACUCCGGUGGUAUGAGAUGGACCCGCGUCUGGAUUAG